CUGCUGCCUUCCGUAGGAGUUUGGGCCGUGUCUCAGUCCCAAUGUGGCCGGUCACCCUCUCAGGUCGGCUACUGAUCGUCGGCUUGGUGGGCCGUUACCCCGCCAACUACCUAAUCAGACGCGGGUCCAUCCUGUACCACCGGAGUUUUUCACACCGGACCAUGCGGUCCUGUGCGCUUAUGCGGUAUUAGCAGUCAUUUCUAACUGUUGUCCCCCUGUACAGGGCAGGUUACCCACGCGUUACUCACCCGUCCGCCA
rnacentral:rRNA from 1 species